rnacentral:rRNA from 1 species
UGCAAGUCGAACGGUAGCAGGAAGUGCUUGCACUUCGCUGACGAGUGGCGGACGGGUGAGUAAUGCUUGGGAACUUGCCUUUAGGUGGGGGAUAACAGUUGGAAACGACUGCUAAUACCGCAUAAUGUCUACGGACCAAAGGGGGCUUCGGCUCCCGCCUUGAGAGAGGCCCAAGUGAGAUUAGCUAGUUGGUGGGGUAAAGGCCUACCAAGGCAACGAUCUCUAGCUGUUCUGAGAGGAAGAUCAGCCACACUGGGACUGAGACACGGCCCAGACUCCUACGGGAGGCAGCAGUGGGGAAUAUUGCACAAUGGGGGAAACCCUGAUGCAGCCAUGCCGCGUGUGUGAAGAAGGCCUUCGGGUUGUAAAGCACUUUCAGUUGUGAGGAAAGGUUGGUAGUUAAUACCUGCCAGCUGUGACGUUAACAACAGAAGAAGCACCGGCUAACUCCGUGCCAGCAGCCGCGGUAAUACGGAGGGUGCGAGCGUUAAUCGGAAUUACUGGGCGUAAAGCGCACGCAGGCGGCUUGUUAAGCUAGAGGUGAAAGCCCCGCGCUCAACGUGGGAACUGCCUUUAGAACUGGCAGGCUAGAGUCUUGGAGAGGGGAGUGGAAUUCCAGGUGUAGCGGUGAAAUGCGUAGAUAUCUGGAGGAACAUCAGUGGCGAAGGCGGCUCCCUGGCCAAAGACUGACGCUCAUGUGCGAAAGUGUGGGUAGCGAACAGGAUUAGAUACCCUGGUAGUCCACACCGUAAACGCUGUCUACUAGCUGUUUGUGUAUUUAAUACGUGAGUAGCGAAGCUAACGCGCUAAGUAGA